rnacentral:rRNA from 2 species
UGAUGCAGGCAAUUAGACAGGCAAGUAGAGAGCACGUCUUAUGGAAGUUAGCGGCGGACGGGUGAGUAACACGUGGGCAACCUGCCUGUAAGACUGGGAUAACUCCGGGAAACCGGAGCUAAUACCGGAUAGUAUCUUGAACCGCAUGGUUCAAGCUGGAAAGACGGUUUCGGCUGUCACUUACAGAUGGGCCCGCGGCGCAUUAGCUAGUUGGUGAGGUAAUGGCUCACCAAGGCAACGAUGCGUAGCCGACCUGAGAGGGUGAUCGGCCACACUGGGACUGAGACACGGCCCAGACUCCUACGGGAGGCAGCAGUAGGGAAUCUUCCGCAAUGGACGAAAGUCUGACGGAGCAACGCCGCGUGAGUGAUGAAGGUUUUCGGAUCGUAAAACUCUGUUGUUAGGGAAGAACAAGUGCGAGAGUAACUGCUCGCACCUUGACGGUACCUAACCAGAAAGCCACGGCUAACUACGUGCCAGCAGCCGCGGUAAUACGUAGGUGGCAAGCGUUGUCCGGAAUUAUUGGGCGUAAAGCGCGCGCAGGCGGUUUCUUAAGUCUGAUGUGAAAGCCCCCGGCUCAACCGGGGAGGGUCAUUGGAAACUGGGAAACUUGAGUGCAGAAGAGGAGAGUGGAAUUCCACGUGUAGCGGUGAAAUGCGUAGAGAUGUGGAGGAACACCAGUGGCGAAGGCGACUCUCUGGUCUGUAACUGACGCUGAGGCGCGAAAGCGUGGGGAGCGAACAGGAUUAGAUACCCUGGUAGUCCACGCCGUAAACGAUGAGUGCUAAGUGUUAGAGGGUUUCCGCCCUUUAGUGCUGCAGCUAACGCAUUAAGCACUCCGCCUGGAGACGUAAUCGUUG